rnacentral:RNase_P_RNA from 1 species
UCAGUCGGCUGGACGGCCGCUCGGACCAGUGCCGAAAGGUGGUCCGGGAGGAAAGUCCGGGCUCCAUGGACAUGCGGUGCCGGAUAACGUCCGGCGGGCGCGAGCCCAGGGAAAGUGCCACAGAAAACAAACCGCCGCUUUCAGUUACCCGCCUGCGGGUAGGACGGAGCGGCAAGGGUGAAAUGGUGCGGUAAGAGCGCACCGCGCUUGCGGCAACGCAGGCGGCAGGGCAAACCCCACCGGGAGCAAGACCGAAUAGGGGCGGCGCGGGACUUCCAUCCCGGGAUGGGUGUCCGGAUCCUAGCCGUCCGGGUAGGUUGCUAAAGGCGUCGGGCAAUUGACGUCGCAGAGGAAUGGCCGUCGCGCGAGGGUCUCAAGCCCUCGCCCUACAGAACCCGGCUUACAGGCCGGCUGAUGCU